AGUGCGCGCUUUGUCAGCUAGGGUAUUUAAAGUUCGCGGGAAGUGGAGGUGCAAAAGGAAGAAAAAACCAACAGGUUGGGGGCGGUGCCUCGCUGUAAACCCAGCGUUUUGGGAGGCCGAGCGGGAGGAUCACUUGAGCACAAGAGUUGGAGACUAGCCUGGCCAACUUGGCAAGACUCCGUCUCUACAAAACGAACAAACAAAAAUCAAGGAAUUGGAUCUGGACCAAAAAGGAAAUUCCUCGAAAGAAAAAGGUCCGACCCGCGGGAUUCUGCCAAGAGUGGGGAAGCACAGGACCCACUGCGCGGCCAGCCCGGAUCGCACCUCCUGCGCUCACUGCGCUCUCCAACGAUCUUCACGCUACCGUCACCACUGAGAUCAACGCAGUAGUUGGUCAGCGCCGAAUGCAACAUUGAUUCUGGAGUCCUAUGUAAGUGACUACUAAUUGUAUUAUACAGAUUAUUUAUUUAUUUAUUUAAUGCUGGGUCUCUCACAGUCUCCCAGGCUGGAGUGCAGUGGUGUAAUCCUAGUUCAGGGCAGCCUCCAGCUCCUGCGUGCGAGCGAUCUUUGUGCCUAGGCCUCUCAAAGUGCUGGGAUUACAGGGGUGAGCCACCGCGUCCCACCCCAAUUUUUUAAUGAUAUAAAGUUAUAUGCUCCUCUGCCUGCCAACCCCUUCAGACGUUGCAAAAGCAAAUUUGGUAAUAAUCAAAAAGUCCUUGCACCCCACAUUCAAUUCCUAAAAAUAAAAACAAUAAUAAUCUGCAAGAGUUUGGCUUUGGCGUGUAUUCCUCAAAGCUACUUAAAAAUGAAUAUAUAAUUGUAUGUAUACUUCUAGACUUAUAUUUACAAAAACAGAAACUGCUACACAAUAUUGUUCUGCAGCACACUUUUUAUGUCAGUUACUACCUGUCUAUUUUAUUCUUUUUGAUGGUUAUAUGGUAGUACAAUUAAGUUAAUGCACCAUAAUUGGUUUAACCAACCUUAUAUCAACCCUCUAUUUCAAAGGCUGCUACCUUGAACAUUCUUUUAUGCUCUUGUGCAUACCUUGUUGAAUUUAUGCAAAUAUUUCUGUAGAAUAAAGCUUUAGAAGUGGAAUAGCCAAGUGAUGAUCUCUACCUUUGAAAAAGUCAGUUUUUUGAAGUUUAAUUUCCAUACAGUUAAAUUUACCUUUUUAUAUGUACUUUGAUGAAUUUUGGCAAACACGUAUAGUCAUGUAAAGACCUCUACAAUAACAAGAUAUACAUUUCCAGCAUCCCCCCAAUAUUCUUCCUCACUUCUCUUUAGUCAACCUUUCCCUCCACUCCUAGCCUGACAAUUACUGAUGUGAUUUUUUACUUUAUCUUUUGUCUUAUCUGGAAUAGAAUCAUACAGUAUAAGCAUUUAAGUCUGGUUUCUAAUCUCUUUCACUUGGCACACUGCUUUGAGACUCAUUUAUGUUGCGUGUAUCUGGUUUGUUUUUUAUGUUGCUGAGUAAUAUUCCAUUGCAUGAAUGUACCACAAUUUGCUUAUCUACUCACUAGGUGAUAGACAUUUGGAUUGUUUCCAGUUUUGGCAAUUAUAAAUAAAGCUGCUAUAAACAUUUGUGUACAGGUGGACAUAUUUUCAAUCUUUUUGAGUAAAUAUCUAGGAGGAAGAUUUUAGGUCAUGAAGUAAGAAUAUACUUAACUUCUUUAAAAAAACCUGUCAAACUGUUUUUCCAAGUGGCCAUACCAUUUUUGCAUUCUCACUGGCAAAGUAUGAGAGUUUCAAUUUUUCCAUAUCCUCAUCAACACUUAGUAUUAUCAGGUUUUUAAAUUUUUUUUAAAAUUUUGCCAUUGUAAUAGGCAUGCAGUGGUUUUAAUUUGAAUUUGCCUAAUGACCAAUGAUAUUGAAGUUUUUUCAUGUGCUUGUUUGUUAUCUGUAUAUCAUUUUUGUUGAAGUGUAAUUCAAAUCUUUUCCCUAUUUUUAUUGUGGAGGGUGGAAUUGUUUUCCUAUUGUUGUGCAAAAUCUACAUAUGCUUUCUCUGAGUCUCAGAGUUGUCCAUUUUUACUAACAGUCCCUUUCAAAGAACAGAAGUUUUUAAUUUUGACAGUCAAAUUAUCAAUUUUUUUAUGAUUUAUGCUUUUUGUAUCGUAUUUAAAAAUUCUUGUCUAACAAAGUCAUAAAGAUUUUCUCUAAAGUGUUCUUUUAGAAAUCUUAAAGUUGUAGGUUUAGUUUUAGGUUUUAUUUUGGUCUGUGGGCCAUUGUGAGUUAAUUUUUGUAUACAGUGUGAGGUAAGGAUGGAGAUUCAUGCUUUUGUUUUGUUUUGUUUUUGCACAUGGCUCUUAUCCAAUUGGUACACCACCAUUAGUUGAAAAGACUUUCCUUUCCCCUGUAAGGAUUAACUGAAUCACCUUGGCAACUUUGAUGAAAAUCAGUUGAUAUCAUGAGCCUAUUUUUGAACUCUAAUAUCUACUUUUAAAUUGUGAUAAAUGAUAGGCAAAUUUGCCAUCCCCACCAGAAAAGUGUGACAUCAACCUUACAGCUGACUCCCAGUUCAUUUGGUCCCUUGCCUCUUCCUUACCAGAAACAGAAGUAGGGCCGUGUGCUCCAGUUUCUCUUCCCUCAGCCCAAACCCAGCUCUUCUUAAAGUCUCAUGAGCUGAUGCCGCUGCACAGCUUGGUAGCAGACAGCAUAGCAACUUCUACAUUCGCCAGAAACUCUUUAUGAGGCAGCCAAUUCAUUUCACUACACUAGGUAUUGCGGAGGCAACUGCUGUUGGGUUGGGUAAGGAUUUAUUACUGCGCUUGGAAUCUGGGGAUGUGAGUUCAAGACUCAACCAGACCUGGAGGUCUAGUUUUGUGUUUACCUCUCCAGUAACUGCUCAUUUCUCUCCUUUUCUGAGUAAAACUCCUUUACAGCUUAAUGAUAUAUUUAAUUCCAAGGAGUGAGAAUGUUGUGUUUCAAAAAGAAAGAGUUCUCACAUUGUAAUUUAAUGCCUCUUCUCUGUGAAUCAAGUUGGGCUGAGCCCUGGAGACCUCAGAACAGGUCUUAGGUUUAUCAGCUCCUCGGCAGCCAGGUGGAAAAGCCCAAUGGGAAGCUUUCUCGGGAUGAGACACCCACUGGCCUCAUCUUCAGAAGAUAGGAGCGCUCCUCACCUCUCUCUUUGCCCCCGUAGCCCGCUCACGGACGCCCGGCCUCACCAGCUAGUGUUGCUUGAUUUGUAUGCAAAAUGUUGUUCUUCCUUUAUCUGAAAUUCAAAUUUAAUUGGGUAUUCUGUAUCUUAUCUGGCAAUCCUACCGCCAACCCGACCUCAGGCCGGAGGAGGAGAAAUUGCGUUCCGGGUAACUUCCCACCCCAUUGAGCCGGAGAACAGUUUCCUAAGUUUUGGGAAGAGUGAAAACCUGUCACCACGAAAAGAAAGGAAAUCUCCUCCAAUUGAAAACAAACAAACAAAAAACCAAAAGCUGUUACCAGGGGCUCGGAGGACAGGUAAAGCCAGAUGCAAAGUUAACAGGAAACACUGUUUUCCAAGAUCAUGCAGCAGCCGUAAAAUGUCGCAAUGGUCCCCUCUUUGAGCAAUUGCUCCCUUUUUACGAGUGUGCCGACCCGCUUUGCCACACCCAUCCAUGUACUACUGGGGAUACCGAAGAUCACUCUUUCCUUGUGACAACACCCAAUCCCUAGCUAAUCCCCACUACUCCUAACCCCACCUCAGAAACACCAAGCAAUCCAGAACUGAUCCUGCUUCUCUUAGAGACUCCUCAGAAUCCUCGAAUGGGAACCCAAACCUUACAAAGGACAGUUCUCCCCAGCCUCUUGUUGAACUGCAUUUCUCCGUUACUCUGGAAUAUCCUGUCACUUCGUCUAUGUAUUAAAUCUGAUUUUGGUUUGUU